CCUACGGGAGGCAGCAGUGGGGAAUAUUGGGCAAUGGGCGCAAGCCUGACCCAGCCACGCCGCGUGAAGGAAGAAGGCUUUCGGGUUGUAAACUUCUUUUGUCAGGGACGAAGCGAGUGACGGUACCUGACGAAUAAGCCACGGCUAACUACGUGCCAGCAGCCGCGGUAAUACGUCGGUGGCAAGCGUUAUUCGGAUUUAUUGGGUGUAAAGGGCGUGUAGGUGGGAAUGCAAGUCAGAUGUGAAAACUAUGGGCUCAACCCAUAGCCUGCAUUUGAAACUGUAUUGCUUGUGUGCUGGAGAGGCAGGCGGAAUGCCGGGUGUAGCGGUGAAAUGCGUAGAUAUACGGAGGAACACCAGUGGCGAAGGCGGAUUGCUGGACAGUAACUGACGCUGAGGCGCGAAAGCGUGGGGAGCAAACAGGAUUAGAUACCCUUGUAGUC
rnacentral:rRNA from 1 species